AUGCUGUCCGGAGAACUCAAUUAAAACGAUCCCACUUGUUCUGAUCCAGAGGAGGCAGCUGCCGCAGGGGGCAGCCUGCACUCAGGCCAGGAACUCCAGGGACUUCUGACCAGGCAGAGCUCGGCCUGUACACACCACCUGGCUAGGCAGGGGCCAGGCAGCACUGGAAGCCCAAGACCAGGCUCCACCAGCCCCAGACACCCUACUAGCGAUGCCCUCCUGGGCGUCCCUGCCUGCACCUGCACAGGAAACCUCUUGAUGACAAACCUAGACCUGUGUCUGAGGCAGUCACAGCCUGAAGAAGAGACCCAGCCACGGGACUGUGGCCCCUCUGGACCACACAGGCCACCAGGAAGGAGUGGGGGUGGCAGCAGCUUUCCUCUUGUCUUCAGAAGAAAACAGAAUGAAGAUAUAUGGCAACUAGACAGACGGCAAUCCCAAACAACAGUGGCGUCCGUUCUGGACUUACCUGCACUUGGAGGCUCGGAAGAGGACACGAAGCCAUGGCAACACAACGACAGUUCGGACGUGUCAACGGCCAGUGUUGCAGCCGGCACCUCUGGGCAGGGCUUGAUGGCUGCUCGCACAGGGAAGCCCCUGCACACACAGGUACCCCCCCCCCCCACCCCGCCACAGGCGUGGGCAUCUCCUCGAAGGGCAGGCACUGGCCCCUUCCAGCCUGGGGCUCUAUGCCCCGGCACCUCCCCACAUCACCUCUGCCCAGGGAAAUCUAGUUUCCCACCUGCAUCCAGACUCAGGCCAGUUGAGCUGGACUAG
rnacentral:lncRNA from 1 species